GCCCUAGUAACGGCGAGUGAAGCGGCAACAGCUCAAAUUUGAAAUCUGGCGCAAGCCCGAGUUGUAAUUUGUAGAGGAUGCUUCUAGGUAGCGACCGGUCUAAGUUCCUUGGAACAGGACGUCAUAGAGGGUGAGAAUCCCGUAUGUGACCGGCCCGCACCUUCUACGUAGCUCCUUCGACGAGUCGAGUUGUUUGGGAAUGCAGCUCUAAAUGGGAGGUAAAUUUCUUCUAAAGCUAAAUACCGGCCAGAGACCGAUAGCGCACAAGUAGAGUGAUCGAAAGAUGAAAAGCACUUUGGAAAGAGAGUUAAAAAGCACGUGAAAUUGUUGAAAGGGAAGCGCUUACAACCAGACUUCUGGGCGGUGUUCCGCCGGUCUUCUGACCGGUCUACUCGCCGUCCCGAGGCCAACAUCAUCUGGGACCGCCGGAUAAGACCUCAGGAAUGUAGCUCCCCUCGGGGAGUGUUAUAGCCUGUGGUGAUGCGGCGCGUCUCGGGUGAGGUCCGCGCUUCGGCAAGGAUGUUGGCGUAAUGGUUGUCAGCGGCCCGUCUUGAAACACGGACCAAGGAGUCUAACAUCUAUGCGAGUGUUCGGGUGUCAAACCCCUACGCGUAAUGAAAGUGAACGGAGGUGGGAAGGGUAACCUGCACCAUCGACCGAUCCUGAUGUCCUCGGAUGGAUUUGAGUAAGAGCAUAGCUGUUGGGACCCGAAAGAUGGUGAACUAUGCCUGAAUAGGGUGAAGCCAGAGGAAACUCUGGUGGAGGCUCGCAGCGGUUCUGACGUGCAAAUCGAUCGUCAAAUUUGG
rnacentral:rRNA from 1 species